UUGCUGGGCACAACUGAAAAGAGACUGGCUCCAUCCUCUCAACACCCCCCCCCCCUCAGAUAUUUAUAUACAUUAAUGAGGUCUCCCCUCAGUCUUCUCUUUUCCAGGCUAAAGAGGCUCAGUUCUUUCAGCCUGACCUCAAAUGACAGGUACUCCACCUGUAUUUGGAAU